AUUGAACGCUGGCGGCGUGCCUAACACAUGCAAGUCGAGCGGUAACAGGUGUAGCAAUACAUGCUGACGAGCGGCGAACGGGUGAGUAAUGCUUCGGAAUCUGCCCAUGUAGUGGGGAAUAACCAGCCGAAAGGUUGGCUAAUACCGCAUACGACCUACGGGUAAAAGCAGGGGAUCGCAAGACCUUGCGCUAUUGGAUGAGCCGAAGUCGGAUUAGCUUGUUGGUGAGGUAACGGCUCACCAAGGCGACGAUCCGUAGCUGGUCUGAGAGGACGACCAGCCACACUGGGACUGAGACACGGCCCAGACUCCUACGGGAGGCAGCAGUGGGGAAUAUUGGACAAUGGGGCAACCCUGAUCCAGCGACGCCGCGUGUGUGAAGAAGGCCUGCGGGUUGUAAAGCACUUUUAGUGGGAUGAAAAGCUCGGGCUAAUACCUCCGGGUCUUGACCUAACCAAAGAAAAGAC
rnacentral:rRNA from 1 species